UACGGAGGAUGCGAGCGUUAUCCGGAUUUAUUGGGUUUAAAGGGUGCGCAGGCGGCGUGUCAAGCAAGCGGUAAAAUAGCGGGGCUCAACCCCGUCGAGCCGUUUGAACUGGCGCGCUUGAGUUCAGGCGAGGUAGGCGGAAUGUAUGGUGUAGCGGUGAAAUGCUUAGAGAUCAUACAGAACACCGAUUGCGAAGGCAGCUUACCAAGCUACUUCUGACGUUGAGGCACGAAAGUGCGGGUAUCGAACAGG
rnacentral:rRNA from 1 species